AUCAAUUUUUUGGUAUUAUUUGGCCGAAUUUGCCUAAAAUUCGCAUUUGCUAAGACUUUAUAAACAUUAGCAAAGCGUUCUGUAAUAGAAUUUGCAAAAAUAAUUGAUAUUUUAAGAAAAAAUAUUCCUGUCAAAAAAGUCAGCCGAUCGGAAAGUGCUGCACUUUCCGUUCGACCAAUUUAGAAUUUUUCGAAAUUGAAGAAAAAGAAGAAAAGUGUCAUUUGAUUGUUUUGAUUUUUCUCGGGAGUGUGUAAAAUGUGUGAAAUCAUGGCUGAAAACAAACGAAAUCUUCCCUUGUGGUGCUCAACAGCUUUUCCGGUCAAGGGAAGCAUCUGAAGCUUAUGGCACAGAUGCUGCAGAAUAUUUUUCCCACAAUUAGCGUGUCCACGAAGAUAAUGCUGAAUAUUUCAAAGAGCAAGUUGAAGUGGAGCCAGAUCGGGAUCUUUUCACCCUCGUAGACCCAAAACGUCCACCCAAGUCCUUGCUGUUGAACCCAUAUCCAAGGGAAAGAACUCCAAGAGAAAACUCAACGACGGGAAAUCAGGAAAGACGAAAAUGAAGCAAAAAUCAUUCAUAAUUUCAUCCGGGAAAGCAAGAAAAAGUUGUAAAGUUAAUAAGGAGCCCAAGAAGUCCCGUAAAUAACUUUAUUUUUGAUGAAAAUAAAUAAAAGUCUUAAUUCUCUGAUCUAUGGAGCUAUGUAUUUUCCGGAAGCUCAUAAGUUCAUGCAUAGGAGAGCCCCAUGUACAGAUUGUACUCAUCGGGAAGAUCCAGAGUUUCCGGGAGUAGUAGUCUAGAUCUGAGGCGACAUCGAGGCAGAAUCUAAACAUUCGUCACUGGCAGAGGGUUUUCUUUCUCAGAUGGCAUCAUCAAUCACUUCACUCAAGCUUUACUUCCGUGGGAAAGUGGACUGCACUGGAGAUUUUUUAAUGCAAAUUCCGGGAUCGAAGAACUUACACCUCUCGUACCAUUUCCGUUUCGGUUUCUCUGGAACGACUCCGGCAAUGCAGCAACUUAUGUACUGAUAAAUAUUUCGGAUGAUUCAUAUUUUUA